UACGUAGGGUGCGAGCGUUAAUCGGAAUUACUGGGCGUAAAGCGCACGCAGGCGGAUUGAUAAGUCAGGGGUGAAAUCCCGGGGCUCAACCUCGGAAUUGCCUUUGAUACUGUCUGUCUUGAGUUCGGGAGAGGUUGGCGGAAUUCCUAGUGUAGAGGUGAAAUUCGUAGAUAUUAGGAAGAACACCAGUGGCGAAGGCGGCCAACUGGCCCGAUACUGACGCUCAUGUGCGAAAGCGUGGGGAGCAAACAGG
rnacentral:rRNA from 1 species